UAAGUGUACAAAGUUUGAAGACGUUUACAUGAAUACCUUUAAUUCGAAGGGUAUUCGUGUAAAUGUCUUCAAACUUUGUAUACCU